GCUUCUAAUGUCUCUUUAUUCUCUUUAAUCUAAUUCUUUAUGAAUUAGAUCAUGCCUCUCAUUUUAAGGAGCUACUUUUAGCUUUAGGAUGUUUUGUGAACACGUCUCCAGACCUGUACAUUUAUUAGACAUCUGGAAUUUGUUCUUAUUCUCUGUGACUUUCAGUGAGUUGGCAGGUGGGAGGUUUUGUAUUAGUUUAGAAAUCUCUUCAGCAGCUAUGGUGGGUGUCUAAAGAUUGAACCUGUGACCCCCUGGUUACAUAAACAUUCUCUCUCACCUCCUACGUGUCUGUUUAAAUUCAAAUGAGUCCAAGCCCAAUACUUUAUGGUCACUAAAUGAAAUGAUGAUAUUCAUGUUCACACUCUGAGGAGCAUCAACCCGUUCUCUCUCUGUCUCUCUCCAGACUCCAGAGGAAUAUAGUUUAAUGUGGAUUCUGACUGAUGCUGUGUCGGCCGUCCUCAUCAUUGCAGUUUUCAUAUUCCACUGGUGGAGAGAGAGAGGCCUGCCCUUCUGGUCCGGCAGCCGUCAGACUCACGAGAAUGGACCUUACAGCAAGUUCAGAACGGACUCUUCAGAGGUCAUCUGUGUUCGCUGGAGCCCCCUCCACUCUGACCCCCCUGCUGGAGCCUUCGUCUCCCUCCCCUUGGUCUUCAACCCAUGACCCCCUGCAUGUCAGCCCUGCAUGUCAGCCCUUCAGCAACCUCAGCUGAGCGACGUGUGGUCCAUCUCCAGCGUCAACGUCCGGCCUGACCUGCGGAGCACACCCAGUUCACCCAGUAAUCCUCACCUGCCCACCAUCACAGAGGAGUGACUGGGAGAGAGACAGAGGGAGUGGGAGAGAGUGGGUGGGAGAGAGAGAGACCGAGAGGAGGGAGAGAGAGAGAGAGAGAGAGAGAGAGAGAGAGAGAGAGAGAGAGAGAGAGAGAGAGAGAGAGAGAGAGAGAGAGAAGAAGAAGAAGAAGAAGAAGAAGAAGAAGAAGAAGUAAGAAGAGAGAGAAGAGAGAGAGUAGUACGAGUAACGAACGUAAAGUAACGUAACGUAAAGUAAACGGUAAUUAGUUAACUUAAGUAUUAGUUAAUAGUAUAAGUAUAGUAAGUAGUUANNNNNNNNNNNNNNNNNNNNGAGAGAGAGAGAGAGAGAGAGGCAAGAUAAAGAAAGUACAGAAGUAUAGAAGAAGAUAAUGAGAGAUGGACAAGAGACAGAUUGUGACAACAAUCAAACUGGAUUAAAUAUAUUCUUAGUUAUUGUUUAUUAAAGGUUCAAAGACUAGAUGUGAUUUCAUCUAAUUUGACUUGAUAUGAGACGGCCUCAUACAGUAAACAAACAACUACUGAAAAAGGUUAGUGAAGAAGAAACAGACAUCACCCAUCAUUAAUCAAUGUAAGAAGCUGAUAAAGCUGAAAAAGGUGUUUUCUUUAAAUAAAAAAGAAAAGAUAAUGGAGUCUUUAAAUAAGAGAAGAAAAAGGAGCAGAUGUUCCAAAAUCACAAGACAAAAUAACCAAGGACGAACAGAGAAAACUGUUGAGGUAAAGUCACUGACAGCAAACUCUCUUGUCUUUUUCCACUUCCUCUCUCAUCUUCUCUCAGACUGUGGGCCAACUGCCCCCAGGAACUGAACUCUAAACCAAACCUCAUUCAUUGAUCUGCCAUCAGGGAUGGAGCAGAGAGACUCUGGACACGAGCCCAGGAGCAGCAGUGUGCAUUUCCAUGCUAUAAUCUCAUAGAUGCCAUUAAAACGCCUGGGCAGUGAGGACAGUUGAACACUGGCCCGGAGGCUGACAUGCUUGACAACAUUUUCAUCUCUGGUCAUUCAACGCCACCAGCUGAGCUCAACAACGCAAGACGUCAAACUAAACCUCACAAAAGAAACAAGAAAACAACAGCUAUAUAGUGCUGUAGCAAUACAGCCGACUUUCACUAUUCCCGUCUCGUGUUUCUAGUUGAUAAAAACCAAAUGUUUGUCAGAGGAAGAGCGGCAGAGUGGAUGUGAAGCUUUGUUAAUGCUCUGUCUUUAGAGCUUCUUCAGAGACGUGUGGACGAUGACAAAACGGACUCUGAGAAUCUUCUGCAGGAGCUACACUUUUUCAUUUUCAGCUGUACAGAUAUCAGGUGCAUUAGACCAAACCUUAAACCAUGUCUUAAAUUUGAAUCUGUGUGUGUCUGAAUUGUUGGCUGUGGUGUAUGAACUGUACACUUUUGGACUGAUGGAAUGAAUGUAAAGGCUUGAGAAGGUACUGUUAGUUGCUAAUUAUGUUUUGUACUAAAGUGAAUGUAUUAUCAAGUGUUUCUCAAAAGCAUAUGAGGAAUGUUUUGGCUGGGAGUCAAUUCAAUUUGGCUACAGGUUUGUGCCAAAUGCAGUAUCAGCUGCUCUAAAUAAAGAUAAAGAUGCUUUUGAGAAACCAGUCCUCUUACUCUUUUUACGAGGCCGUGAAUUAAAAAAGUCUGCUUUCUCCUGAAAUUUACGCACACCGUACUUUCUGGAAAAAUGACUAUAUAGUUCAUCUGUCUCCUAACUUAAAGUGACUCUAGAUCUGAAAUCCAGUUUCAACUUUUCAGGUGUGAAAUCCUAAGGUUAGGGGCCAGUUUGCUGGACAGUGUUGGAGAUGAACCAGGGCGCGCUGCAGUAAGUGCCAUUAAAAAAAGACUACUUUAUGGCUUUGUUUUCACUGUUUAGAGUCAGAAUCACUUUAUUCAUCCAGCUAUUGAUUUAGAUAGCUGGAAGCUAUUUGAAUGCACGUCCUUGCAGGUAUCUAUUGCAAGGAAUCAGUGUAACAUGGUUCCAGGUGGGCUGCUCAUCACAUUUAACCUGCAGACGGAAUCCAUGUUGAUGUGAUUUUACACAACUAGACGUCCAUUUAGUGUUUACUCUCCCGUUCCGCUGGAUUUUGGCCUUUUGAAGUUAAGGACUUUGUUUGAUUUUGGCUGUGGGUCUCAAGUAGACUUGACGUUAAACUGUCAUUGUUUUCAGCUGCUUUUCCACCUCGUGGUACGGCUACUCUACUCUCCUUUUUGGUUUUCCAUUAUGUAUAGUACCUGCUGCUUUUUUUGGUGCCACCUCGGUCGAGGCUCCAUGUGAGCUGAGUUGAUGCUAAAAGGUGACCUGAAAACACUGCAGACCACUGAUUGGUAGUGCAACAUACUGCACAAACCCCACAUUGUUAAACAGCCAAUCAUCCAUCCAAUAGUGACCCCAAUUUUAUUUUAUUUAUUCUAAAAUGGCAGCCUGCAAAAACCAGAGCUGACAUAUCAAAAAUAUACCAUCUCUUCAUAACCGAUGUUAUAAGAGUAGCAGCUGCUUUUUGUGUGUAGUUAGUAUGUGGUGAGUGAAAGAGAGAGAGAGCAGUAAAUGUGAGCAGUGCAGAGGAAACGUGAUCAAUCUGGCAGUAAAUGUACAUUGAAGGUUUGUCAGUCCGUUUUCCCAACUGUGUCCCCAUAUGGCGAUCAGCUCCGCCUACGGCGAGGAGGUACUGUCCAAGGCACUAUCUUCAGUGGAAAACAAAGUAAAGGUACCAGAAGCAAGUUGAGGAGAGUCAAGUCGUACCAUGGAGUGGAAAUACAGCUUUGGUGUGUCCUGUACCAGGCUUCAGUCUGGACUCCCUCAGGGCUGAUUGUGGUCUGUCUGACUGAGGUGGUGCUGACACAUGUCUGAAGACGGAUAAAUGUUUGGCUGUAAUCAGAAGUUUUGUUUGCAACGUGAGACUUCUGGAUGAGAUUGUGCUCAAUGCUUUCCUUCGUCCUGAAGUCAAAAUUAAACAUUGCUUAUGCGAUCUAGAUUUAAAGUGCAGAGUCACAUGACUAAGACUGCAAACGCAACAAAGUAACUUAAUGUACUGUAUUGUAUUGUAAUAUGAAAAGUGGCUUGCACUUAGUUUAACUGUAUUUGUGUUCCUGUUGAGAAUAUAGUAGCUGAUGUGUUAUCAAUCACUGCACAGCCAUAUUUAUUCUAUUGAAUAUGAUGUUUUUCACCGUAAGGCCGUCCAUUUUAAGUGAGUCUGGUCACAAUGCACCGCUUUGUUGGACUUCCUUUGGAAAUGCGUUGCAUUUCGAGCCUUGCGCGUGUUGGAUUUAUCCAACUUUUGUUUUAUAGAUGCUUUCUUAAAGCCAAAGUCUAUGCUAUCUUGCUAGAGUCAGACUCUUAGCUCGUGUUGACUGAAGUGGUGUCUGUGAAGAGAUUUCAAUAUCCUAACAUCCACAGAAACGUGCAGCACUCCAGAGGUCAAAGACACCUGAUUCUAAUGAAAGCUUCAUAGCAGGUUUAUCGACAUGAGGUGAUUCUUUUGCUCUUUGCUGUUUUGUCCUCUGAAGUGCUGCCCUGUAUUUUGACUUCAAAUGUACAAUUACAAUACAGACAUUGCUGAUAGACAGGAUCAGUUGACCUGUUUCCUCUUAUGAAUUCAGAGAAAUUCCACAAACCACUGCAGUAUUAUCCACUUCUCCACUAUCCAGCGGUACUUAGUGUGUUCCAAAUCUGGCUAAAUUGUGGGUGAAGCUCAAUAUAACAUGGAAGAUGUGUUUUACUUAUAUGACAAAACAAUGACAGUUUGGCACAUACUGAGCAUGAAGAUGAACUGAACAACCUAACACACACAUUUGUUUGGUACCUGCAACUCAACCAAGCAGGAAACAUCUUCUGGCACCCUGAGAACACCUUUUUGCUAUUAAAUCUCUAUAUUUAGGACAAAGUUAAGUUAUGGCUGUAUUUCGUUGUUUUCACAUGGAGGCGACCAUUGCAUGCUGCUCUGCACGUUAUUUCAAGCUUAAAUUAGUGCGGUCAAACCAUAAAGAAGAUGUAAAAGACCAAAAUUGGUAGUACAUGGAAGAAAUGGAAUAACACCAAAUACACAUUGUCAGACCAACAGACUCCCACUGGAGGCAAACAACUUCUCAUUGUUCAGUCUCAGUCACUCCAUACUGGUGAAUAAAAUCACAAAUACUGCAAGAUUUUCUUGGCAAAACUGAAAACAAAGUCAUCACAAACCCAGUCAUCACCACCUGCUUUGCUGUCUUGAUGCAAGCGUGCGCUGUAGAUAUAAAUUAUUUUUUUACAGUUCGGUAUGUUUGAGGUCAGUGUCCGUGAAAUGGAAUUAUAAAGUAGAAUUUUCCAUAUCAACACUGUGUUUUAGAUUUGGCUCCCUCAGUGGCAUGAUUCAGAACUCAUGGUUUGAUAAUGGAAGGGAGGCUAGCCCUGACUGGAAGCUGUGGUCCUGUUUAACACCUGCAUGCCAUGCGGCUUGUACAUUGAGACAUUGGCUGUUGUCCCGCUUGUGCUUUAAAGGUCCAGUGUGUAACAUUUAGUAGGAUCUAUUGGUAAAAAUAUAAUAUUCAUAGG
rnacentral:lncRNA from 15 species